rnacentral:rRNA from 1 species
AGACAGAGGGUGCAAACGUUGUUCGGAAUUACUGGGCGUAAAGCGCGUGUAGGCGGCCCUGCAAGUCGGAUGUGAAAUCCCACGGCUCAACCGUGGAAGUGCAUUCGAAACUGCAGGGCUAGAGUCCUGGAGAGGAAGGUGGGAUGCUUGGUGUAGAGGUGAAAUUCGUAGAUAUCAAGCGGAACACCGGUGGCGAAGGCGGCCUUCUGGACAGUGACUGACGCUGAGACGCGAAAGCGUGGGGAGCAAACA